CAAAGAGCUUCGGAAACCACUUCAUGAAGUUCCUCUCCUCUUCUGUGAACCUCCCCAGCCUAAUCACCAGCAGAAAGGCAUCAGGUCCAGAUUCCAUCUCUUCCUGACAGUGUUGGGUGACAGAAACAGGUGAAGCUUCUGCUCUGAAAGCAUCUUUACCCAGGAUGGUGUUUCCUGAAGCACUUUUCCCAGCUCCAGAGGUGCCCAACAUCAUCAGUCUCAGCCCAGGUCUUACUGGAACAUCUAUGGAGAUUGAGAAUGUUGGAUUUUAAAUGUAGCCUAAUAUUAACUAUUAAACAUGCUUUAAAGACUUUGCAAGAAGGCAUGGAUCGGCAGUACAUAAAAUGAUCGUAGAGUGAGAAUGGUAAUUAAAAGCAUACAUAAGAAUUUAAAUCUGUAUUUUGGAUAUUUUAAUAAAUUGACCAGACUUCUGAAUAA